rnacentral:lncRNA from 1 species
UCAGUGCCGCAAACUAUGAAAAUAACCAGAAGGUAUCAAGCCGUUGAUCAAGCGGGAAGCCAUUGGACGCAAAACCCACAAUCGAAUCCUGUAAGCAUUGCAGCAAAAGCAUUAAUUGAGGUCCUACGCCCGCAUUCCUUAAGUUGUUAGGGUCGCAAUUAUGACUGCCAUUCUUAAUUAUAUGUUGGGAAAACGAAGAAAGAAAGAUAACAGCACCAUCACCCACCAUUAUGCUCCUCACAUGGAUGGACAUACUGUCCUUGUUGUACAGUUCCGGUUGUACAGUUCCGUUCGCGCCAAACGCAGUCCAUUGAAGAAAUCAUCCUUUAGUGAUGGGUACUCUUACCAUAUUGUCCAUUGUGUGUGGGGUUUCUCUUGGCUUUUCCCCAAUCUCAACACCCUUUAUGCACCAUCAUCAUCCCCUACUGUGCAUGUCUAUGUAAUAAUCGUUCCUGCUAUGGGUAUGUCUGGCUAGGUUUGGUAAGAAAGUCCGGGCUAUCCUUGCAUGUGAGGCUCAAAGCGAAGAGAGAGAGAGAGAGAGAGAGAGAGAGAUGCCUCCAUGUGAAAAGUACAACUUGUUUUCUCAAAUUAAUUGGCAUGGACAUGUCUCCCCCACAGAUGGCCUCUACGUCGCAUGUGUAUCCCAAUAUGCUCACGUUCUCAGACCAUCAUGGUUACCCCCCGGUAGGUUGACACAGGGGCCCAUGCAAGAGAGAGAGAGAGAGAGAGAGAGUACAUAUUUCUAGCUAGAAAGAUGCAUGGCAAGUACCAUCACCAGGGUUUUAGGGCAGUAAGUACCAAAGUCUCGUAGUUUUUCAAGAUGACUUGCUCCGAGGCC